AUCAUUUUGGUUCAUAAACUUGAUGAUACUGCAUUCACACCAUUGCAUGAGAUGCCCCUCUUUUAAAUCUCUUUACAGAAUCUAUAUAUUACUCAUCUGAUA